UAGCCGUAUAGUUUGAUCCUGGGUCGGAUUGUCUUGUUGGGGGGGCAAUGGAUCACCAAGGCGACGAUCCGUAACUGGUCUGAGAGGAUGAUCAGUCACACUGGAACUGAGACACGGUCCAGACUCCUACGGGAGGCAGCAGUGGGGAAUAUUGGACAAUGGGCGAAAGCCUGAUCCAGCCAUGCCGCGUGUGUGAAGAAGGUCUUCGGAUUGUAAAGCACUUUAAGUUGGGAGGAAGGGUUGUAGAUUAAUACUCUGCAAUUUUGACGUUACCGACAGAAUAAGCACCGGCUAACUCUGUGCCAGCAGCCGCGGUAAUACAGAGGGUGCAAGCGUUAAUCGGAAUUACUGGGCGUAAAGCGCGCGUAGGUGGUUUGUUAAGUUGGAUGUGAAAUCCCCGGGCUCAACCUGGGAACUGCAUUCAAAACUGACUGACUAGAGUAUGGUAGAGGGUGGUGGAAUUUCCUGUGUAGCGGUGAAAUGCGUAGAUAUAGGAAGGAACACCAGUGGCGAAGGCGACCACCUGGACUGAUACUGACACUGAGGUGCGAAAGCGUGGGGAGCAAACAGGAUUAGAUACCCU
rnacentral:rRNA from 1 species